rnacentral:tmRNA from 1 species
GGCUGAUGGAGGGAAUGUCAAUAUAAUGACUGUGAUGGGAGAUGCUUUGAUGGAUGGGCUUUCGGACGCGGGUUCAACUCCCGCCAGGUCCACUAAAAAACGCCGUAGUUACGGCGCUUUUUUUAUGUAAUAAUAUAAGCAUUAGAUCUGAGCCAGGAAAUCACUAAAGAUCUUGCAAUGCAGUUCCUCAUCAAGCGACAGCCGGGCAAGCAUCUUCGAUACAAGCGGAUCCUUGAUUUCUUGCGCCUGUUUUGCAUAUGCCUUGGCGGCAAACCGCUCAGAUUCGGCAUUCUUAGACAACAGCGUCUGAACGUCGCAGCUAUAGUC